rnacentral:tRNA from 1 species
GGGGAUAUAGCUCAGUGGUACAGUGCUUGCCUGGCAAGCAAAAGUUCAUGAGUUUGAUCCUCAGUACCCA